rnacentral:rRNA from 1 species
GACGAACCGUGCGAACGUUGUUCGGAAUCACUGGGCUUAAAGGGCGCGUAGGCGGUUUGCCAAGUCAGGGGUGAAAUCCUGCAGCUCAACUGUAGAAGUGCCUUUGAUACUGGCGAACUCGAGGGAGGUAGGGGUGCGUGGAACUUCUGGUGGAGCGGUGAAAUGCGUUGAUAUCCGCAGGAACUCCGGUGGCGAAGGCGGCGUGCUGGACCUCUUCUGACGCUGAGGCGCGAAAGCCAGGGGAGCGAACGGG